rnacentral:rRNA from 1 species
AUUGAACGCUGGCGGCAGGCCUAACACAUGCAAGUCGAGCGGAGCGGCGGACGGGUGAGUAAUGCCUAGGAAUGUGCCUGGUCGUGGGGGAUAACGUCCGGAAACGGGCGCUAAUACCGCAUACUAUCAGAUGAGCCUAGGUGGGAUGAACUAGUUGGUGGGGUAAAGGCCUACCAAGGCGACGAUCCGUAACUGGUCUGAGAGGAUGAUCAGUCACACUGGAACGGAGACACGGUCCAGACUCCUACGGGAGGCAGCAGUGGGGAAUAUUGGACAAUGGGCGAAAGCCUGAUCCAGCCAUGCCGCGUGUGUGAAGAAGGUCUUAGGAUUGUAAAGCACUUUCAGUUGGGAGGCGUUACCAACAGAAUAAGCACCGGCUAACUCCGUGCCAGCAGCCGCGGUAAUAC